rnacentral:rRNA from 1 species
UACGGGGGGGGCAAGCGUUGUUCGGAAUUACUGGGCGUAAAGGGCUCGUAGGUGGCCAACUAAGUCGGACGUGAAAUCCCUCGGCUUAACCGGGGAACUGCGUCCGAUACUGGUUGGCUUGAGUUUGGGAGAGGGAUGCAGAAUUCCAGGUGUAGCGGUGAAAUGCGUAGAUAUCUGGAGGAAUACCGGUGGCGAAGGCGGCAUCCUGGACCGACAUUGACGCUGAGGAGCGAAAGCGUGGGGAGCAAACAGG